rnacentral:rRNA from 1 species
UGGGGCAACCCACUAUGUUGAAGACAUAGUACACCGAUAGGUGGGCAAACCCGCUGAACUGAAACAUCUAAGUAGGCGGAGGAGAAGAAAACAAAAGUGAUUCCGUAAGUAGUGGCGAGCGAACGCGGAUUAGCCCAAACCAAUGUUGUUACGGCAAUGUUGGGGUUGUAGGACCACGACAUUUUAUGCAUGCAGAACCGGAAGUUACUGGAAAGUAACGCCAUAGAGAGUGAUAGCCUCGUACGGGUAAUAAAUGUAAUAGAUAGUGGUAUCCUGAGUAGGGCGGGGCA